rnacentral:rRNA from 1 species
ACCUGCCCUAUGAAUAAUCUAUUUUUAAAUGGCCGCAGUAUUUUGACUGUGCAAAGGUAGCAUAAUAAUUAGUUUCUUAAUUAGGAACUGGAAUGAAUGGUUGAACGAGAAAAAUACUGUCUCAAUUUAAUUUAAAUUAGAAUUUUAUUUUUAAGUAAGAAAGCUUAAAUAUUUUUAAAAGACGAGAAGACCCUAUAGAGUUUUAUAUUAAUUAUUAUUAUUAAAAAUUUAAGUAUUUAAGAUUUAAUUAUAAUAAAUUAGUAUUUGAUUGGGGCGAUUAAAAAAUUUAAUUAACUUUUUUUAUAUAAAACCAUUGAUUUAUGAUUAAGUGAUCCAUAUAUUUAUGAUUAAAAGAUU